rnacentral:rRNA from 1 species
AUUGAACGCUGGCGGCAUGCCUUACACAUGCAAGUCGAACGGUAACGCGGGGCAACCUGGCGACGAGUGGCGAACGGGUGAGUAACGCAUCGGAACGUGCCCAGUAGUGGGGGAUAGCCCGGCGAAAGCCGGAUUAAUACCGCAUACGACCUACGGGUGAAAGGGGGGGAUCGCAAGACCUCCCGCUAUUGGAGCGGCCGAUGUCAGAUUAGGUAGUUGGUGGGGUAAAGGCCCACCAAGCCUGCGAUCUGUAGCUGGUCUGAGAGGACGACCAGCCACACUGGGACUGAGACACGGCCCAGACUCCUACGGGAGGCAGCAGUGGGGAAUUUUGGACAAUGGGCGCAAGCCUGAUCCAGCCAUGCCGCGUGCGGGAAGAAGGCCUUCGGGUUGUAAACCGCUUUUGUCAGGGAAGAAACGCUCUGGGCUAAUACCCCGGGGUAAUGACGGUACCUGAAGAAUAAGCACCGGCUAACUACGUGCCAGCCGCCGCAGUAA